CGCAGAGUGGUGCCAUGGUUUGAGCCUUGGACCAUGACUCUGGAGACCAGGGUUCGAAUCCCUGCUUAGCCA